rnacentral:rRNA from 1 species
CCUACGGGUGGCAGCAGUGAGGAAUAUUGGUCAAUGGCCGCGAGGCUGAACCAGCCAAGUCGCGUGAGGGAUGACGGCCCUACGGGUUGUAAACCUCUUUUGUCGAGGAGCAAAGCGAGGCACGUGUGACUCAUUGUGUGUACUCUAAGAAUAAGGAUCGGCUAACUCCGUGCCAGCAGCCGCGGUAAUACGGAGGAGGCAAGCGUUGUCCGGAUUUAUUGGGUUUAAAGGGUGCGCAGGCGGAGGGGCAAGUCAGCGGUAAAAUUCCGGGGCUCAACCCCGUACUGCCGUUGAAACUGCAUCCCUUGAGUGCGGGAGAAGUAUGCGGAAUGCGUGGUGUAGCGGUGAAAUGCAUAGAUAUCACGAAGAACACCGAUGGCGAAGGCAGAAGACCGGAGGGCAACUGACGCUCAUGCACGAAAGCGUGGGUAGCGAACAGGAUUAGAUACCCCUGUAGUC